UACGAAGGGGGCUAGCGUUGCUCGGAAUCACUGGGCGUAAAGGGCGCGUAGGCGGCCAUUCAAGUCGGAGGUGAAAGCCCAGGGCUCAACCCUGGAAUUGCCUUCGAUACUGUCUGGCUAGAGACCGGAAGAGGUAAGUGGAACUGCGAGUGUAGAGGUGAAAUUCGUAGAUAUUCGCAAGAACACCAAUUGCGAAGGCAGCUUACUACACAAAUAUUGACGCUGAGGCACGAAAGCGUGGGGAUCAAACAGG
rnacentral:rRNA from 1 species